GACGAACGCUGGCGGCGUGCUUAACACAUGCAAGUCGAACGAGACGAUUGAAAGCUUGCUUUCGAAAGUCGAGUGGCAAACGGGUGAGUAACGCGUAGACAACCUGCCUUUGAGAUGGGGACAACAGUUCGAAAGGAAUGCUAAUACCGAAUGUUGUAUAUUUUCCACAUGGAAGAUAUAUUAAAGAUGGCCUCUAUUUAUAAGCUAUCGCUCAAAGAUGGGUCUGAGUCUGUGUAGCUGGUUGGUGGGGUAACGGCCUACCAAGGCGACGAGCAGGAGCCGUUCUGAGAGGAUGAACGGCCACAUUGGGACUGAGACACGGCCCAGACUCCUACGGGAGGCAGCAGUGGGGAAUCUUCCACAAUGGACGAAAGUCUGAUGGAGCAACGCCGCGUGAGUGAAGAAGGGUUUCGGCUCGUAAAGCUCUGUUGUCGGGGACGAAUGUGCAGUAUUUGAAUAAAGUACUGUAAUGACGGUACCUGACGAGGAAGCCACGGCUAACUACGUGCCAGCAGCCGCUGUAA
rnacentral:rRNA from 1 species